rnacentral:lncRNA from 10 species
GAUCUCAGGAGGAGAGGCCCUGCAGGCACCUGGCUACCUGGGCCUGAAGAGGAGCAGGGGAGAUGAGUUUUGUGGGAGUUGACAGCGGCCAGGUGCGGUGGCUCAAUUUCCUGACCUGCUCCAUGGAAGGUGACCUAAUGGUGGUGACUGCGGGAGGAGCAGCAGCAAUAGCAGGAGUGGUACUCAAGUUCUGGAUGGCUAUCAUAAUGGAAAUAAAUCUUAGUCCACACACUCUUCAUUAACCUGGAAACCAGUGGGCAACAUUGACGACUGACAGGAGGGGACCUUGCCUCCAAGGCUCCAAGGCCGGAUAAGAAUGGCUUUACCUUCCUGACUCCAGAAAGAACCGCCCUUUUUCCCCACCUCCCUGAUGGCUUCCUGGUGCUUGUGAUUCUACCAGACUAGCUUUUCCUUUCCCCCUAAUAAUAGCUGCUAAUUAAUAUUUAGCGAGGGUUUACCAAGCGCCGGGCUCUGAGCUAAGUACCUUGUAUGUACUUUUUUCAUUUAAUCCUCUCAACAGUUCUACUAGGAAGGUACUACUAUUUUCAGUAUUUACUAAUAUUUGGGUAUUUCUUAAUUACUAAAAACAUUUCUCAUUCUACAGAUGAAAAUUGAGAGUAGAAGUUGGUCAGUAGCUUUCCGAAGUCAGCUAGAUAGAAAGAAGGCAUUGAAGUCUAUGGCCAUACCACCCUGAAUGCGCCCAAUCUCGUCUGAAAGAAGGCAUUGAAGCAGAGCUCAGACAUCCCAACCCCAGACUCUCCACCAAACCAUUGUCUUUGUUCCUCAUAGUGUGGUCCUUAGACCAGCAGUCGUAGAGUUAUUUGGGAGCUUGUGAUGCAAGAAUCUCAGGCCCUGCCCAGACUUGCAAAAUCAGACUCAGCAUUUUAAACACAAUCCCCCAGAGUUGGUAUGCACAUUACAGUUUGAGAAACGUGCCUGGUUAUAAGAGCUUCCUUCCCUCGCAAGACGCAAAUCCGUCUUGCAUGAGGAACACAGCCGAUACCAGACAGAGAUACUUCAACAGGAAUGAGUUUCAGCUCUUCUCUGGGAAGCAGGAUGUUAGGAACCCAGCGGGGCCACCAGGCUGUUGAGGGACACGAGGAAGUGGAAGGGAUGGCCUUUGUAAUUGCCAUCAUCAGAAACGGGUUGGCCUAGAAAUCUGUAUCCCAAGGUGAAGCAAUGUCUUUUUUUCUGCAUGCUUUUUUCCUGCAUGUUGCAGAGUUGGGAGAACAGACUGCCUGUGUAGACCCCAGUGAGAAACAGCUGCAAAGAGGCAUUUCUGGGUUUUACUUCCCCUGGGCCUCUGCAUCCUCACCUAGGUGGGUGAGAGCAGUGAAUCUACCUGCUUACCUCACAGGUGUGCCUUGAGCACUGUCAAGAGUGGGAAAGGCUUUGCAAAGUUCAGAGCAGGAUCCAGGUCUAGGGUGCAAUCCUUAUUGCUAGGUGGGUCAGUCAUUUGAUCUCCCUUUUGCCCAGCAAAGCCACUUCAUAAAACCCCUUGCUGGAAGGCCAGAUCCAGGUCCCUCUGCUUCCAUGCAUGCCUGCCUGCCUGCCUCCCACUGCCACUCCCCUGCUGCUCCACAUGCUAGCCUGGGUGCAUUCAGGGGCCCACUGUCUUGUUUUCUGAUGCCAGUGCUAGAAAAGUUCUGCUCUUUCUAAAGGAACAUGGUACUUUCAAGGCCUUUGAGAACCAUGCCGUAUGUCAUUCAUGGUCACUGAAUCACAGACAGGAUUCCAAAUGGGCCUGAGAGAUCAGAGUCUUGUCUGCACGCAGUGGCUCAUGCCUAUAAUCUCAAGCACUUUGGGAGGCUGAAGCAGGAGGAUCACUGGAGGCCAGGAGUUCAAGACCCACAACACAGCGAGACCCCAUCUGUACAAAUAAUAAUAAUAAUAAUUUUUAAAAAAGAGUUCGGCCUCAGGAUAUAAGUCCCAGCUCUUCUGUUUAUUAGCCAUGUGAUCCUGGGUGAGUUUCUUAACCUCCCUGCAACUCAGUUUUCUCAUUUGCAAUGUGGGGAUAAUAACAGUCCCUAAUUUUCAGGAUUACUGGAAAUACUGAAUAAAAAACUAAAUAAAUACUAAUUUAUUAAACACUUAGUGCCUGCAUUUAGUUGACACUCCAGAUUGAUAGCUAUUACUAAACCAUAUUUGAGGCUGGGCG